rnacentral:rRNA from 1 species
UUAAGCACAGGGACACAUAUGAAGUCUCAGAGCCGGGUGUUGGUUCCGGUAGAGAUCGAGGGAAGUUAGUACCGAAGUCUGGGAUGGAAGAUGGCGAGAAAAGCUGUGUGGAUUUCUGAGGUGCCCGUACCGCAAACCGACACAGGUAGGUAGGAAGAAGAUUCUAAGGCCAACGGGAGAAGGGUUGUUAAGGAACUCGGCAAAUUGACCCCGUAACUUCGGGAGAAGGGGUGCUCCAGAGAUGGAGCCGCAGAGAAUCGGCCCAAGCAACUGUUUACCAAAAACACAGGUUUGUGCUAAAUCGAAAGAUGACGUAUACGAGCUGACGCCUGCCCGGUGCUGGAAGGUUAAGAGGAGAUGUGCAAGCAUUGAACCGAAGCCCCAGUGAACGGCGGCCGUAACAAUAACGGUCCUAAGGUAGCGAAAUUCCUUGUCAGGUAAGUUCUGACCCGCAUGAAAGGCGUAAUGAUUUGGGCACUGUCUCAACAGCCCGCCCGGCGAAAUUGUAGUACCGGUGAAGAUGCCGGUUACCCGCGACAAGACGGAAAGACCCCAUGGAGCUUUACUGUAGCCUAAUAUUGGGUUUCGAUGUUGCAUGCACAGGAUAGAUGGGACUCUGGGAAACCAGUGCUUUGGCGCUGGCGGAGAGGCCGUUGGGAUACCAUCCUUGCGAUAUUGGAAUUCUAACCUGCGGCUCUGAAUCGAGUCGGGGGACAUUGUUAGGUGGGCAGUUUGACUGGGGCGGUCGCCUCCUAAAAAGUAACGGAGGCGUUCAAAGGUUCGCUCAGCUUGAACGGAAAUCAAGCAAAAGAGUGCAAACGCAGAAGCGAGCCUAACUGCGAGACUGACGGGUCGAGCAGUAACGAAAGUUGGAGUUAGUGAUCCGGUGGUAUGUGAGUGGAAAUGCCAUCGCUCAACGGAUAAAAGUUACCCUGGGGAUAACAGGCUGAUCUCCCCCAAGAGUCCACAUCGACGGGGAGGUUUGGCACCUCGAUGUCGGCUCAUCGCAUCCUGGGGCUGUAUUCGGUCCCAAGGGUUUGGCUGUUCGCCAAUUAAAGCGGUACGCGAGCUGGGUUCAGAACGUCGUGAGACAGUUCGGUCCCUAUCUGUCGUGGGCGCAGGAUAUUUGAUGGGAGCUGUCCCUAGUACGAGAGGACCGGGACGGACGUACCUCUGGCGCACCAGUUGUUCUGCCAAGAGCAUAGCUGGGCAACUACGUACGGAUCGGAUAAACGCUGAAAGCAUCUAAGCGUGAAGCCGACCCAAAGAUAAGAUAUCCCACUGUUUCAAACAGGUAAGAUCCCUUGAAGACUACAAGGUUGAUAGGCACGAUGUGUAAGUGGAGUGAUCCAUUCAGCAAGCGUGUACUAAUAGAUCGAGGGCUUGACCG